AGCGAACGCUGGCGGCAGGUCUAACACAUGCAAGUCGAGCGGCCGUAGCAAUACGGCAGCGGCAGACGGGAGAGUAACACGUGGGAACGCGCCCUUCGGUUCGGGAUAACUCAGGGAAACUUGGGCUAAUACCGGAUACGCCCUUACGGGGAAAGAUUUAUUGCCGAAGGAACGGCCCGCGUCCGAUUAGCUAGUUGGUGAGGUAACGGCUCACCAAGGCGACGAUCGGUAGCUGGUCUGAGAGGAUGACCAGCCUCACUGGGACUGAGACACGGCCCAGACUCCUACGGGAGGCAGCAGUGGGGAAUAUUGGACAAUGGGCGCAAGCCUGAUCCAGCCAUGCCGCGUGGGUGAUGAAGGCCCUAGGGUUGUAAAGCCCUGUCAGCGGGGAAGAUAAUGACGGUACCCGCAGAAGAAGCCCCGGCUAACUUCGUGCCAGCCGCCGCAGUAA
rnacentral:rRNA from 1 species